GUCAGUCAGUCAGCCAGUCGGUCUGUGUCAGUCAGUCAGCCAGUCGGUCUGUGUCAGUCAGUCAGCCAGUCGGUCUGUGUCAGUCAGUCAGCCAGUCGGUCUGUGUCAGUCAGUCAGCCAGUCGGUCUGUGUCAGUCAGUCAGUCAGUAGGUCUGUGUCAGUCAGUCAGUCAGUAGGUCUGUGUCAGUCAGUCAGUCAGUAGGUCUGUGUCAGUCAGUCAGUAGGUCUGUGUCAGUCAGUCUUCAUCAGUCAGUCAGUUUCAGUCAGUCCUCAUCAGUCAGUCAGCUUCAGUCAGUCAGCUUCAGUCAGUCAGCUUCAGUCAGUCAGUCAGUUUCAG